UAAUAUUUAUUGAAUAUGGAUCAGUAAAGGUGUCUAUCAAAUUUAAAGUGAUGUUGUUUAAUAGUAAGAAAUGCUACUAAAUGAUUAGUUAUGGCCUGAAAAAAGAGUAAAUGACAUCAAGGAGUAUUUAAGUAGGAAAAAAGCAGGUUUAUUUUUUGUGGAGCUUACAGCUGGCUCUGUUCUUGUUUUGUACAAAAUGGCCUUUUUAAUAUCCUGCUGUGACUUUGGAACUGCUCAGUAAUUCAUGAAUACAUUAGGUUGAUAUGGCUAGUGGGAUGUUUACAUUUGAGUAUAGUUGUGUAUCUUAAUUGGAGCUGUCAGGGAAGACAAGAAGGGAGGGAAAGGAACAGUUAAGAUAAGCCGCAUCUCCACAAAUAAUUGUGAGCUCUAUCCCAUCAGCUCAGGAAGAAGGUUGUGUAAAGGAACAUAGAACCAAGACUGGGGGAGUCUCAGUUGUGUCCAGUCUAAAGAGCUGGAUGGACCCACAGACACCAGGAGGCAUUUGUGAAAGAACUGGAUUUCUUAGGUUACCUUACCUAAAAUCCUUUCUCCUCAAGACUUACAUCCUGGAAUACUUAAGACUGCAGCUGGCCCUGUAGCCGUGAGUGCUGCUCCAGAAGACAAAGCUCCUCGGCACAACACAAAGCAAAUACAGACUGUCUUAGAAACACUCCCUUCUAGGUAGGUAUUCAAAACCUCUGGGUAUAUUUUGGACCUUUUGCACCCUAAGUAUUAAAUCAGCUAUAGAAAUGUUCCACCUAGAGAAAAAAAAAGAAAUGCUACCUAAAUAGCUAAGGAAUAAGGAGGAAAGUGAUUAUUUAAAAAAAAAAAAAAAGCCAAAAAAACUCCCCAGGCAUGCUCACUGCUUUGUGUUAUGCAUACAUGCACUUACACAGUGAGUGUUUUUCUUAGAUUGUCCAGCCAUUGAUGCAGGGUACAAUUCCACCAGCAGACGUGCAAAUAAUAUAUCAGAAUUACUACCUAAAUGUGUGCAAACAGAGCAUUCCUUAUGGCCUAUCAAGAGAAAAAUAUGCUUAGGAUACAGCUAUUACAGCAGAAUAUUAAUGACAAAUGUAACCCUGAGCAGGAACUUGGAGUGUCUUAUUAAAACAUACUCAGUUUCCAUAUUAACAAUGCAAAGGCAAAAGCUGGUGUAUCUCUUAUUCAAUAUGAAAGUAAUUAUCUAUAUUUUACAUGUGCUAAAAUGUUUCCUAGUCGCCAACACGUAAUUAACCUAAAGUAAUUUUAUUUGUUCAUUUACACACUGCAAGCAGAUGUCUAUUUAAAUAAGCAGCAAAUUUAGUUUUUGUCACUUCGGGUUUUGAUUAUAAAGCUGUUUUAUUCCCCGAGGGAAAAAUAAGUUGAUUUCCAAGGCUGGAUUUGAUUAGUGCUUGAUCAGAGGAUCUCCAGGUAGGGGCUGUGUCCUGUGGUGGUUUGACUUCCCACUUCUUUCUACCCGGAUAUGAAGGUGGUGGACUCUAGACUUUCAAACUCGAUCU
ensembl:lncRNA